AAACCGCGAAAGGCUCAUUAAAUCAGUUAUGGUUCCUUAGAUCGUACCCACAAUUACUUGGAUAACUGUGGUAAUUCUAGAGCUAAUACAUGCAAACAGAGCUCCGACCGGAGACGGAAGGAGUGCUUUUAUUAGAUCAAAACCAAUCGGUGGCGGGUUCGCUCGUUAUCGUAUAACUUGGUGACUCUGAAUAACUUUACGCUGAUCGCACGGUCAUCGCACCGGCGACGCAUCUUUCAAAUGUCUGCCUUAUCAACUGUCGAUGGUAGGUUCUGCGCCUACCAUGGUUGUAACGGGUAACGGGGAAUCAGGGUUCGAUUCCGGAGAGGGAGCCUGAGAAACGGCUACCACAUCCAAGGAAGGCAGCAGGCGCGCAAAUUACCCACUCCCGGCACGGGGAGGUAGUGACGAAAAAUAACGAUACGGGACUCAUCCGAGGCCCCGUAAUCGGAAUGAGUACACUCUAAACCCUUUAACGAGGAUCAAUUGGAGGGCAAGU
rnacentral:rRNA from 1 species